rnacentral:rRNA from 1 species
AACGCUGGCGGCGUGCCUAAUACAUGCAAGUCGAGCGAGCUGAAUUCAAAGAUCCCUUCGGGGUGAUUUGUUGGACGCUAGCGGCGGAUGGGUGAGUAACACGUGGGCAAUCUGCCCUAAAGACUGGGAUACCACUUGGAAACAGGUGCUAAUACCGGAUAACAACAUGAAUCGCAUGAUUCAAGUUUGAAAGGCGGCGCAAGCUGUCACUUUAGGAUGAGCCCGCGGCGCAUUAGCUAGUUGGUGGGGUAAAGGCCUACCAAGGCAAUGAUGCGUAGCCGAGUUGAGAGACUGAUCGGCCACAUUGGGACUGAGACACGGCCCAAACUCCUACGGGAGGCAGCAGUAGGGAAUCUUCCACAAUGGACGCAAGUCUGAUGGAGCAACGCCGCGUGAGUGAAGAAGGUCUUCGGAUCGUAAAGCUCUGUUGUUGGUGAAGAAGGAUAGAGGCAGUAACUGGUCUUUAUUUGACGGUAAUCAACCAGAAAGUCACGGCUAACUA